UCUUGGCGGAUUGAUGGCGGGCAAAGAGAAUCUCGCCCAACAGAGCCAGAAUAGCCAGGCUGGACCCACCCAACAUAAGGAUCAUGGUGCCAAACAAGUCCUGCAGGUUGAGGGGUCGCAGUGGCUGCGUGCCAUUUUCAGGCUGGAAAGCAAGAUCUGUCAAAUGGCUACAGUUUCAGGCUGGAAAGCAAGAUCUGACCUUGUUCCUUUCUAUCCAGUGUGCCAUCAUACAUGUAAAGGGUACACUUACUCAGCGCUGAGGGCAUCCCUGAAUGGAGAGCCUGCCUGGAGGAUGAUGCCGAAACGUGUGUAGAAGAAGGAGUCCCUCACCACUGUCAUGCGACACUCGCCGUGCAGAGCAAGGUCAUCAGCGACGGCAAACUCCAGCCAUGAGUUGUCCUGAGGAGGAGAAGAGCAUGACAGGGAGGGGCUAUUAACCCCGGCAUUAACUGCAGGGGACACUCAAUUCCAAGAAACCCACAGAAAAAAUGUUCUUAUAAACAGUGAAGGCACCAUGCAGGCAGGCUAAUAUAAUUGCCUCCCCCCUAAAUCUCAGCUCCCCUUCCCUUUGGUAUCAUUAAUUUUGAGACUAAUCAUUGUUCCUUUUAUUUUCCUCAGUCUCACCCCGUUCACCAAGGGAGCACCUUCCAAACCUUUGCUAUUAAAUAAUCUUGAAGUGGCCCCUAAUUAGAAAAGUUAAAUUGUGUACAUGUGAUUGAGCUGCUACUUUAAAGACAAUAUGGAUAGAUUUGUAAUAUAUGGAGGCGAAGAUUAAACACUGUUUUGUUAAUCAUUA